rnacentral:rRNA from 1 species
UACGUAGGGUGCAAGCGUUGUCCGGAAUUAUUGGGCGUAAAGAGCUCGUAGGCGGUCUGUCGCGUCGGAUGUGAAAACCCAGGGCUCAACCCUGGGCCUGCAUUCGAUACGGGUUGGCUGGAGUUCGGUAGGGGAGACUGGAAUUCCUGGUGUAGCGGUGAAAUGCGCAGAUAUCAGGAGGAACACCAACGGCGAAGGCAGCUCGCUGGGACGGUACUGACGCUGAGGCGCGAAAGCCAGGGGAGCGAACGGG